CAUGAGAUGGAGACCUGAGCUGAGAUCAAGAGUUAUGAAGCUUAUCAACUGAGCCACCCAGAUGCCAACACUUGAAAAUGGUAUUUUAGGAAAGUGAGUAUGAUAUGUGGAAUGGAUUGGAUGAGGCAAGAAACUAGAGGCAAGAAGAGAACAACCGCUAUUGCUGUAAUCACUCCCAAGACACCCACAAGUUACAAGUGGAUACUGAAAAUACAACCACAUUGUGUAAGCACACACAGAAGUGUAUAUGCAGAGAAGGGGGAAAAGCAGUUCUCAUGCUCAUCUAAGAAGACAAGUUCCUUGGACCAUUUGAAGAAUCCACCUGAAGAAUAAAUCUCUUACAGUUUUAAGCUCACUACAAUUUCUGCUCAUGCAAUGGCCAUUAAUGCCUAUUAAGUGCCAGGCACUAUAAUAAGCAAUGAGGAUACAGAAAUAAUUAAGUCCCAGUUGCUGGCCCUGGAGGCUCUCUGUCGGGGAAGUCAGAAAUGUAAAUGUUUAUGAAUCUAAUGAACUGAGUGCUAUAGAAACAUAGAAGUGUUUAAUAUAUAAACAAAAAAUUUCUAAUCUAUCUAAAUGUUAAUGUCUUACUUUCAGUUUCAAACUGUCAAAAAACUUUUUCAAACUAAAUGUCAAAUAUUGAAGGAAAAAAACUAACAGUAUUCUAAAAGUAAAUACAUAGAAUAAAACAUUCUUGAGAGUUAACACUUUUAAAUUUGUACUAUGCUGUCUCUGGUAAGUCAUGUGGGGAGAGUUACUUAAAAGUUUACUUCCACUUGCAAAGUUAGUUAGAAUCAAAGUAUGUUUGGAUAGAUACCCAUCAAAGGAUGGAUAAGAAACUAAACCAGUCGCAAAUGUAAAAACAGAAAAUAUUUCUUAUCACUCUAGGUUUGAAAGACACAUUAAACAUACAGCACUAUUUAUAUAAACUUACUAAGAUAUUUUAAAAACCUACAAGCCAACCACAAGAUACCUUUCACCCCGCUAGGAUGGCUAUAAUCAAAAAGAAGACAAGUGUUAGUGAAGAUGUAGAGAAAUUGGUGGGAAUGUAAAAUGUGAACUCCAGUCUAGCAGUUGCUCAAAAAGUUCAAUGGUUACCGUAUCACUCAUUAAUUCUACUCCUAGGUAUAUACCCAAGAUAAAGGAAAACAUAUAUCCUAACAAAAACGUGCACAUAAAUGUUCAUAGUAGCAUUAUUC